ACGUAGGUUUUGGGGCAUGUGUUACAGAAGUCUUGGAGGGUCUCAGCAGCAUUGUGCUCCUGGCAUUUGUUAGGCAAUCUGCUCAGCAAUGCACCCUUAUGUGAUUUUUUCUUUUCCCCACUUCCUCACUGGUGCCUUCUGGGACCACUUCUCAAAUUGACUGCCUAUAGCUUUAUCUUAAGGUUUGCUUUUGGGGGAAACAUAAGAUGCUAUUACACAGCCAUAAACUUUUUUUUGACUCUGUGUAUAGUGGAACCAGUUUCCAUCAAUUUUUUAAAAAUUACCUUAUUAUUUAUUUUUGGUUGCCCUGGGUCUUUGUGGCUGAGUGCGGGCUUUCUCUAAUUGUGGUGAAUAUUUUUACAAUAUUGAUAAAUGGGCCCAAAGUGUAAGACACUGCUUAUGAAAACAAUUACAUGAAAAGUAGAAUGUGCAUCAUGAAGAGCCCAAGAAACACUAGAGCAGUGGCCUGCAGGCUACCACCUGAAGCUUAAAAGUUGCUACUUGAGAAAUUGCUGAUAUUCCUUUGGGAGAACUAAAUAAAGACACUAUUAAGAGGAACAUUAAGAAACCUGACAAAUGAGAACAACAGACAGCAGAAGUCAGCAC
ensembl:lncRNA